rnacentral:rRNA from 1 species
GACGAACGCUGGCGGCGUGCUUAACACAUGCAAGUCGAACGAUGAAGCUAGAGCUUGCUCUGGUGAAUUAGUGGCGAACGGGUGAGUAACACGUGAGUAACCUGCCCCGAACUCUGGGAUAACUGCUGGAAACGGUAGCUAAUACUGGAUACGACCUACGAAGGCAUCUUCUGUAGGUGGAAAGAAUUUCGGUUCGGGAUGGACUCGCGGCCUAUCAGCUUGUUGGUGAGGUAAUGGCUCACCAAGGCGACGACGGGUAGCCGGCCUGAGAGGGUGACCGGCCACACUGGGACUGAGACACGGCCCAGACUCCUCCGGGAGGCAGCAGUGGGGAAUAUUGCGCAAUGGGCGAAAGCCUGACGCAGCAACGCCGCGUGCGGGAUGAAGGCCUUCGGGUUGUAAACCGCUUUCAGCAGGGAAGAAGCGAAAGUGACGGUACCUGCAGAAGAAGCACCGGCUAACUACGUGCCAGCAGCCGCGGUAA